rnacentral:rRNA from 1 species
UAUAGCAAUAUAUCAGCGGCGAAAGGGAGAGUAACGCGUAGCUACGUACCCCGGAGUCCAGAAUAGCCAGCCGAAAGGCUGGGUAAUGCUGGAUGAUGUCUCCGGACUAAAGGUGUGAUUCCGCUUUGGGAGCGGGCUGCGUUGUACUAGCUUGUUGGUAGGGUAACGGCCUACCAAGGCGAUGAUGCAUACCGGGCGUGAGAGCGUGGCCCGGCUCACUGGGACUGAGACACUGCCCAGACACCUACGGGUGGCUGCAGUCGAGAAUCUUUGGCAAUGAGCGCAAGCUUGACCGAGCGACGCCGCGUGCGGGAUGAAGGCCUUCGGGUUGUAAACCGCGAAAGUAGGGAGGAAAUCGCUAGGGGUUCUCCCCUAGUGUUGACCUAUCUUCAGUAAGGACGGGCUAAGUUCGUGCCAGCAGCCGCGGUAAUACGAACCGUCCAAACGUUAUUCGGAUUUAUUGGGCUUAAAGGGUAUGUAGGCGGCCCUUCAAGUCGGGUGUGAAAGCCCUCGGCUCAACCGAGGAACUGCGCCCGAUACUGUGGGGCUCGAGGGAGACAGAGGUAAGCGGAACUGAUGGUGGAGCGGUGAAAUGCGUUGAUAUCAUCAGGAACACCAGUGGCGAAAGCGGCUUACUGGGUCUCUUCUGACGCUGAGAUACGAAAGCUAGGGGAGCGAACGGGAUUAGAUACCCCGGUAGUCCUAGCUGUAAACGAUGAGCACUUGAUCGAGGGGCCCCCCAUAGCCUCUCGGUCGUAGCGAAAGUGAUAAGUGCUCCGCCUGGGGAGUAUGGUCG